CCUACGGGAGGCUGCAGUGGGGAAUAUUGCACAAUGGGGGGAACCCUGAUGCAGCGACGCCGCGUGGGUGAGGAAGUACUUCGGUAUGUAAAGCUCUAUCAGCAGGGAAGAAAAUGACGGUACCUGACUAAGAAGCACCGGCUAACUACGUGCCAGCAGCCGCGGUAAUACGUAGGGGGCAAGCGUUAUCCGGAUUUACUGGGGGUAACGGGAUCGUAGACGGCGUGUCAAGUAUGAUGUGAAAGGCCGGGGCUCAACCCCGGGACUGCAUUUGAAACUGGCAUGCUGGAGUGCCGGAGAGGCUAGCGGAAUUCCGAGUGUAGCGGUGAAAUGCGUAGAUAUUAGGAGGAACACCGGUGGCGAAGGCGGCUUGCUGGACGGUAACUGACGUUGAGGCGCGAAAGCGUGGGUAGCAAACAGGAUUAGAUACCCGGGUAGUC
rnacentral:rRNA from 1 species